GGGGCUGUAAUGGUUUCGACGGGAUUAUGUGAACUUAGAUUGCAAGUCGUAGUAAUACGUAAAAUUUUAAAUAUCUGGAAACAGAAACGCUUUAGCUUUUGCUUAAUUUAAUACAAAAGCAUUCUUAGUUUUUCUUUGAUUACGAGAACUACUAGGGAUUUAUUUUAGUAAUCUAUAUUAUGUUAGUGUUUAGAUAACAUAAUGAAUAAUUCUAAACUAGCUAUAUAUUAUGUUUGUCAAUUAGCUUAUUAUAUAGUGAAAUUUUCUAAUUGAAUAAACUUGUAGUGGUCUAUUUAUCAGUAGUUUCGGACAGGAGUUCAACUCUCCUCAGCUCCACCA
rnacentral:tmRNA from 1 species